CAACAGACAGGAACUGUGGCCUCAAGGCACAGUCACACCUCGUCCAGAAUCCAGGACCAAGCGCGGGCCCAUUCUGUCCUCUCCACCCCAGCCCUCCCCACCUCGCUUCAGAGAUGUCCCCAGGCCUGAUGUUGCUGGGGCACAUGGCUGGGGUGAACCCGGGCCCAUCCCCUGUGAAGUCAGCGGCUCCCCGGCAUCCUAUGACCCACACUGACACCCCAGGCCUGGGGCCUGCUGUGCAGCCUGGAGUCACUGACCAUCUCUGAGCCCUCAAUUCAGCAUCUGGAAAGCAGGCGUGAUGACAGCUUGGGCCUCCGGGGCUUGGAGACAUCAGGGACACGGCCGGGGUUAGGGGUACUGAGGGGUUGGGUGCUCCCCUCAGAAGGGCCUUCUUGUCCUUCCCGGCCCUCCUCAAACCUCAGCAAUCUCAGCUGCCACUAACCAGCAAGACGACAAUGCUGAAGGACUCACCGAGACCCCUUGCCAACCCCACCCUGGACCACCCAGCAGCCCUUCCCGCACAUCACACCCGUCACUCUCCCGGCCCCUGCCCGCCUGGUGCGCCCUAUGUCUCCCCAAUAACUCCUCCCCUUCACGGCUCUCCCCAAGGACGGAGGGCCCUUGCCCUGCCCAGCCAGGCUGUGGUCCCUGAAAGCAGCUCCUGGAUGGCUCUUGCAGUGACCCCCAACAAAAUUGAUUGAUCAUCAAUCAAGCCAGCCUUCAAGGAGGGGGUGAGUGUGGGAACGACUGUCUCCUCUGGGGACUUCAGCACUGCACACACGGCCACAGCACCGCACCCGCACGGCCCCGGCGGCCUUUCCACCUGUGAGGAUGGAGAAGGUGGCAGGGGAAGGGCAGGCAGAAGAAUGGACAAAAAGAAACCUCCCACUGCUGCACAUGGGUCUGAGGAGAACCCAAUAAAGCACCUGGUGACCUUUGA
rnacentral:lncRNA from 1 species